rnacentral:rRNA from 1 species
GGAGUCUAGCAUGUGCGCGAGUCAUUGGGACAUGACUAAACCUAAAGGCGCAAUGAAAGUGAAAGUUCGUCUUGCACGGACUAAGGGAAGAUGGGCGGCCGUUACGGCUGUCGCCCCGCACUCCCGGGGCGUCUCAUUCUCAUUGCGAGAAGAGGCGCACCAAGAGCGUACACGCUGGGACCCGAAAGAUGGUGAACUAUGCC